rnacentral:lncRNA from 10 species
GUAAGUCCCAUAGUGGGGGGAAUGAUCUUCAGAGGUGCUGGGGAUGGAGUUAAGUCACACUGCCUCACUUGCCUGCUGAGAAAGUGACUCCUUGUUCAGCUCUAAGAGCCUCUAUCAAGGACAAAGUCUGGGUUUGGUGUGAGCCUGUCUUUAACACCUCUCUAGGGCUCAUUGCCCUCCCUUGUUUAGCACAGAGGGAGAGCUGGCCCCAGCCUUCUUGCCUUCCACCGGCAACCAGCUCUUGCUCAGAUUUCAUCACAUUGUUUUGUUUUUGUGGCAUUUAUUUUAACAGUUGUCUUCUAUUUAUGGCAAGUGAUAUUGGCUUUCCAUUUAUGGCAGUGAUAAAAAAGCUUCCUCUUACAUUUCAUUUCUUUAAGUUUUUUUUAAACGGGGUUGAUGGAAAGAAAAAUAUUAAAUAGCACAAGUGAGGCACAGUUACGACCAAAAUUGUGAAGGUGGGAUGUGAAUGACAGGCGAUGGGGAAAUAGUCACUGCACAAACAUGGGGUGCCAGUGGUGUGGCAGCCACGGUGCUGGGGGCGAGGCCAGCAGGGAACCCAGCAGACAAAGCCCUGCCUUUGUGGAGCUUACAGUCCAGCAGGGGUGGGUAGGGGGAGAUGUUACCAAAAUAAAUCAAAUGCGUGGUGUGACCAAUGGUGGCGAGUGAUUUGAAGGACGGGGAGGUAGGGAAGGGAGGGCACCGGCUGCCAUGGGCGCUGCCUCGCAAACACUGGCUCAUGCUCUGAAAGCGUGGCCGCGAGCACAGGCUGGGAGGAGGCGAGGCUGCAGCUUCACAGCUAUCCUGGCACCAUGCAAAAGGAUCUAGUGGUGUCGCCAUCCCUCCUGGUUGAGGCUGGCUUUGGAGACUCCCGCUGGUCAAGAUUACACGCCGCAGGAAACCUCACAUCAAGGCACUAGCCUCCUUUCUUCCAAACAAAAAAGCAGAGGACCGUCUGCGGAGACAAGCGCUGUUGCCUGGAAAGCAGCCCCCAGGGCACGGCGUGGGGUCACACAGCUUUGUCGGUGCUCCACGCUGUGCACAGAUACCAGACUAUGAGUUACCCAGAACCCUAUCUCCCUUCCACCAAUGGGAGCUGGCAGGAGGAGGAGAUGGACAGGAAACUUGGAAAACUCAUUCAUUCAUUCAUUCAUUCAUUCAACAAGAAAGUAUGACUCCACCCCAGGCACUAUUCCAGUCACUGGCAGUACAGAAGAGAGCAAAGACAGGGGCCAUUUGACAGCAUCUUCAGAAACCCCCACAUCAUCUAGACCCUGGGCUUCCCACCCGCCAGGCCAGGCUCUUCCUGCUAGUCCAUGCUGCCUCCUGGGGCUGCCAGUUCUUCAACCAGGCCCACGGGGCACCCACUUGCUGGCUGAAUUUCUCCCCCUGCAUCCCAGUUCUCCUCCAAGUUGGAAGAAGUCUUUGUGGUUUGGAUGAAGGAAGGGAUGAGGAGGAGGGGGACAGAGCAAAGUGUGUUUGCUGGCACCAGAAUCACAGCAGAAGCCAGUGCUGGAAACCUUCCCAAGUAUUUAGAAAUUAAAAUAAUAAAAGAAAACUGAGCAUAUGGAGUUUGUAAAGUGCUGUCCAUCUUCAAGAAGGGAUACAGCUUACUCAGAGUGCAUGGGAGAGCAGGUCGGAGUGAACGUGUCUGUGGGGUAGGGGCGAACACUCAGGCUCUCGGGUAGGAUGAGGGUCCCCAGGCUAGGCUAGCCCAAGAGGCAGGAGGAGUGUGGGAAUUCCCUUUAAGCUGCACUUUUAAAGAAGGAGAAAGAAUAUCCUCUAUGGCCCCUCCCUAACUUCACAGGCGUCCCCAGUCCUUCCCAGCCCAGGGAACGCCAACUCCCCAGCUCGACUCUGAACCAAUCUUCAGUUCUUUCUCUCCACAUCCAAAUUCUCAGCCCAAAUGCCACCUCUUCAAAGAAGCCCUCUCUGGCCACCUCAUCUGGAAGGCCACCCCUCCAGGUACUUUUUCAUCACUCUGUGUAUUUCUGCACGAACCUAUCACUAUCUAAAAUGACCACGGCCCAGUGUGGUAGCUCACGCCUAUAAUCCCAGCACUUUGAGAGGCCGAGGCGGGAGGAUCAUGAGGUCAGGAGUUCGAGACCAGCCUGGCCAACAUGAUGAAACCCCGUCUCUACUAAAAAUACAAAAAUUAGACGGGCAUGGUGGCACAUGUCUGUAAUCUCAGGUACUCGAGUGGCUAGCCAACCUGGUAAAACCCCAUCUCUACUAAAAAUACAAAAAUAGGCUGGGCAUGGUGGCGGGCACCUGCUACUGGGGAGGCUGAGGCAGGAGAAUUGCUUGAACCCGGGAGGUGGAGGUUGCAGUGAGCCGAGAUCAUGCCACUGCACUCCAGCCUGGGUGACAGAGUGAGACUCCGUCUUAAAUAAAAUAAAAUAAAAUAAAAUAAAAUAAAA